CAGGCUUAACACAUGCAAGUCGAGGGGCAGCAUGGUCUUAGCUUGCUAAGGCCGAUGGCGACCGGCGCACGGGUGAGUAACACGUAUCCAACCUGCCGUCUACUCUUGGACAGCCUUCUGAAAGGAAGAUUAAUACAAGAUGGCAUCAUGAGUCCGCAUGUUCACAUGAUUAAAGGUAUUCCGGUAGACGAUGGGGAUGCGUUCCAUUAGAUAGUAGGCGGGGUAACGGCCCACCUAGUCUUCGAUGGAUAGGGGUUCUGAGAGGAAGGUCCCCCACAUUGGAACUGAGACACGGUCCAAACUCCUACGGGAGGCAGCAGUGAGGAAUAUUGGUCAAUGGGCGAGAGCCUGAACCAGCCAAGUAGCGUGAAGGAUGACUGCCCUAUGGGUUGUAAACUUCUUUUAUAAAGGAAUAAAGUCGGGUAUGGAUACCCGUUUGCAUGUACUUUAUGAAUAAGGAUCGGCUAACUCCGUGCCAGCAGCCGCGGUAAUACGGAGGAUCCGAGCGUUAUCCGGAUUUAUUGGGUUUAAAGGGAGCGUAGAUGGAUGUUUAAGUCAGUUGUGAAAGUUUGCGGCUCAACCGUAAAAUUGCAGUUGAUACUGGAUAUCUUGAGUGCAGUUGAGGCAGGCGGAAUUCGUGGUGUAGCGGUGAAAUGCUUAGAUAUCACGAAGAACUCCGAUUGCGAAGGCAGCCUGCUAAGCUGCAACUGACAUUGAGGCUCGAAAGUGUGGGUAUCAAACAGGAUUAGAUACCCUGGUAGUCCACACGGUAAACGAUGAAUACUCGCUGUUUGCGAUAUACAGCAAGCGGCCAAGCGAAAGCGUUAAGUAUUCCACCUGGGGAGUACGCCGGCAACGGUGAAACUCAAAGGAAUUGACGGGGGCCCGCACAAGCGGAGGAACAUGUGGUUUAAUUCGAUGAUACGCGAGGAACCUUACCCGGGCUUAAAUUGCAGAUGAAUUACGGUGAAAGCCGUAAGCCGCAAGGCAUCUGUGAAGGUGCUGCAUGGUUGUCGUCAGCUCGUGCCGUGAGGUGUCGGCUUAAGUGCCAUAACGAGCGCAACCCUUGUUGUCAGUUACUAACAGGUUCCGCUGAGGACUCUGACAAGACUGCCAUCGUAAGAUGUGAGGAAGGUGGGGAUGACGUCAAAUCAGCACGGCCCUUACGUCCGGGGCUACACACGUGUUACAAUGGGGGGUACAGAGGGCCGCUACCACGCGAGUGGAUGCCAAUCCCCAAAACCUCUCUCAGUUCGGACUGGAGUCUGCAACCCGACUCCACGAAGCUGGAUUCGCUAGUAAUCGCGCAUCAGCCACGGCGCGGUGAAUACGUUCCCGGGCCUUGUACACACCGCCCGUCAAGCCAUGGGAGCCGGGGGUACCUGAAGUGCGUAACCGCGAGGAGCGCCCUAGGGUAAAACUGGUGACUGGGGCUAAGUCGU
rnacentral:rRNA from 1 species